UUCUGGAGCUAACGCGUUAAAUCGACCGCCUGGGGAGUACGGCCGCAAGGUUAAAACUCAAAUGAAUUGACGGGGGCCCGCACAAGCGGUGGAGCAUGUGGUUUAAUUCGAUGCAACGCGAAGAACCUUACCUACUCUUGACAUCCAGCGAAUCCUUUAGAGAUAGAGGAGUGCCUUCGGGAACGCUGAGACAGGUGCUGCAUGGCUGUCGUCAGCUCGUGUUGUGAAAUGUUGAGUUAAGUCCCGCAACGAGCGCAACCCUUAUCCUUUGUUGCCAGCACGUAAUGGUGGGAACUCAAAGGAGACUGCCGGUGAUAAACCGGAGGAAGGUGGGGAUGACGUCAAGUCAUCAUGGCCCUUACGAGUAGGGCUACACACGUGCUACAAUGGCAGAUACAAAGAGAAGCGACCUCGCGAGAGCAAGCGGAACUCAUAAAGUCUGUCGUAGUCCGGAUUGGAGUCUGCAACUCGACUCCAUGAAGUCGGAAUCGCUAGUAAUCGUAGAUCAGAAUGCUACGGUGAAUACGUUCCCGGGCCUUGUACACACCGCCCGUCACACCAUGGGAGUGGGUUGCAAAAGAAGUAGGUAGCUUAACCUUCGGGAGGGCGCUUACCACUUUGUGAUUCAUGACUGGGGUGAAG
rnacentral:rRNA from 1 species